UACAGAGGUCUCAAGCGUUGUUCGGAAUCACUGGGCGUAAAGGGUGCGUAGGCCGCACGGUAAGUCAGAGGUGAAAUCCCGGAGCUCAACUUCGGAAUUGCCUCCGAUACUGCCGUGCUUGAGGACUGGAGAGGAGAUUGGAAUUCACAGUGGAGCAGUGAAAUGCGUAGAUAUUGUGAGGAACACUAGUGGCGAAGGCGAAUCUCUGGACAGUUCCUGACGCUGAGGCACGAAGGCUAGGGGAGCGAACGGG
rnacentral:rRNA from 1 species